rnacentral:rRNA from 1 species
GACGAACGCUGGCGGCGUGCUUAACACAUGCAAGUCGAACGGAAAGGCCCUGCUUUUGUGGGGUGCUCGAGUGGCGAACGGGUGAGUAACACGUGAGUAACCUGCCCUUGACUUUGGGAUAACUUCAGGAAACUGGGGCUAAUACCGGAUAGCAUCUCCUGCUGCAUGGUGGGGGUUGGAACGUUUCGGCGGGUGCGGAUGGACUCGCGGCUGAUCAGCUUGUUGGUGGGGUAGUGGCUUACCAAGGCUUUGACGGGUAGCCGGCCUGAGAGGGUGCCCGGCGCCAUUGGGACUGAGGUACGGCCCAGACGCCUACGGGAGGCAGCAGUGGGGAAUAUUGCACAAUGGGCGGAAGUCUGAUGCAGAGGCGCCGCGUGCGGGAAGACGGCCUUCGGGUUGUAAACCGCUUUCGCCUGUGACGAAGCGUGUGUGACGGUACUGGGUAAAGAAGCACCGGCUAACUACGUG